rnacentral:lncRNA from 1 species
CUGCAUCCGUAAUUUCUACAAAUCUGUCCUCCACCUCGCUUAUUUGUUCUUCUGCCUCCUGUAUUCUGCUGUUAGCUGCUUCUAGUGAAUUUUUUAUUUCAGUUAUUGUAUUUUGCAUCUCUUCUUGUUGAAGUUUUAUCUCUUGUAUCUCUUUGCUCAGUGUUUCCUGUAAGUUAUCCAUCUUUGCCUCCAGUUUAUUUCCAAUGUCUGGCAUCAUCUUCAGCAUCAACAAUCUAAAGUCUUUUUCCUGGAGGCUGGGAAUCUCCUCAUCACUUAGCUGCUUUUCUGGGGUUUUUUCUUUCUCCCUCAUCUGAGUUAUAGUUCUUUGUCUUUUCAUUUUUAUAGGUUUUUGGUGUGGUGACCUUUUGACAGAUAAUAGAGUUGUAGCCUCUCUUACUUCUGGUGUCUGCCCCCCUUGGGGCUGAAGUUGGUAUGGGGGCUUGCUGUAGGCUUCCUGAUGGGAGGGCUGAUGCCUGCCCACUGCUAGGUGGAGCUGAUACUAAUCCCUCUAGUGGGUGGUGCUUAGUCUCUGGAUGGGAUCAGAGGCAGCUGUGUGCCUGAGGGGUCUUUAGGCAGCCUGUUUACUGAGGGGCAGGGCUGUGAUCCCACCUGGAUUGUUGUUUGCCCUGGGGUUUCUCAGCACUGACUGACGGGUGGGGCCAGAUUUUCCCAAAAUGGCCGCCUCCAGAGAAAGGCACGCUGCCAAACAUUCCCGAGUGCUUUGCUUCCAAUGACCUUUCCUCACAACAAGCCACAUUCACCCCUGUUUUUCCAGGAGGUCCUCCAAGAACUGCAGUCAGGUUUGUCCCAGAUUCCUAUGGAGACUUUGCUUUGCCCUGGGACCCAGUGCAGAUGAAAGUCUGUGUGUGCCUUUUAAGAAUGGGGUCUCCGUUUCCCCCAGUCCCGUGGAGCUCCUGCUCACAAGCCCCACUGGCCUUCAGUGCUGGAUGCUCCAGGGGCUCUUUCUCCCAGUGCCAGAUCUCCACACUUGGGGUUUUGAUGAGGGGCUCAGAACUCUCACUCCUGUAGGUGAGUCUCUGUGAACUAGUUAGCUUCCAGACUGUGGGGCUUACCACUGGGAAUUAUGGGGUUGCUUAUAUCAUGAAAUCGCCCCUCCUACCUCUUGAUGUGGCCUCCUCUUUUCUUCUGGAGUAGGAUAUCUUUUUGAAGGUUUCCGGUCCAUUUGGUUGAAGAUUGCUAAGCCUUUAGUUGUUAAUUUUGUUGUUUUUAUGAGAGAAGUUGAGCUCUAGUCCUUCUAUCAUGCCAUCUCAAUCCCAUCUCCUGCUCUUCUCGUAAAAAUGUAUUAUAAUGUGGAAAGAGAAUGUAAAAGUGUUUAAGAGGCUAAAUUUCUUAUUUUCCUUUGUACUGUUAAAUGGACUUGGUGGACUUUUUCUACACAAAUUAAAGGUAAGAGGGAGUAUUGUUUCACCAUCAAAAGUGAUCUUUUUACCUCUGUUAAUUCUACAUGUUGUCUGAAGAAUUCCUCUCCUAAUGUGGAAUAUGUAACACGGAAUUUUAGAGACACAUAUGGGAAAACAAUUCAGGAAUCAAAUUACUUUGGUGGAAAACUGCCACAGAAUUUUUUCACAAAACUAAAUAUGAGAGAUUUUCUUAGUGUCUUGCACAAGACCACUUUAUAACAGGGGGGUCUGCAAUCAAUAAGGACAUAAACCAUCAAACCACCAAAAUAUCUCUUUUAAUCAUCACAGUUGUCUCUAAAAUUACCAGUAAAUGAUUAGCACUUUGUUUAAAUUAAAACCAACUGGAGUUCUUGCUACUCCAUCAGAGAGUUUAUCUUCCAUUUUUAAUUUUCUUUCUUUUAGGCUCUACCCAUGGCAUAUGGAAGUUCCCAGGCCAAGGACUGAAUCUGCGCUGGAGCUGUGACCUACACUACAGCUGCAGCUGUGCCAGAUCCUUGAACCACUAUGCUGGGCUGGGGAUCAAACCUGUGACUCCAGAGAGACAAGCCAGAUCAUUAACCCACUGUGCCACAUCGGGAACUCCCAUUUUUAAUUUUCAUGUCCUCCAAAAAUAUUUCUAGAAAUGAUCCUGAAACAUCAUUAAGCCUAAGGUUUGACUGAAUUUUGUCUUCAAUUUAAAAAAAAAUAAGUAAGAAAAAAAAUCAGAAAAAUACAAAGGCAAUACAUCAACUCCCAAGUUCUCACCAGCCAUAUCAGAAAAUUAACAUUUUAAAAAUAUUUACUCUUUUUAAAAAUAAAAAGUUUAAAACAAAAUACCUCUCUAGUCCAAAGCCAGUGUGUAAGAAGAGUGGAGGGUAUGCUUAGGGACCUCUUCCUGGGGCUCCUGGGAAGAUAGCCCUGUAAGUUGCCCACAUACCAGUGUGGAAGUUGGCCACAUCAAUGUGAACUGAGACGCUCUCUCCCUGGUAAGAGGUUUAGCUUUCCAGAGCUCUUCUAAUUCCUCCUGCAUGCCACUGAUUAGGUUCAAGUUUUCUUGACCGCAGAGGUGGGGAAUGAAAUGGAAGCUCGGGGUCAAACCAGAAUAUCACUCUGUGGAAACCAGCAGGCCUGGGAAGAAUGAUCUAAUACAGAGUCAGCAGGCUCACACUCAAUGCAGGAGCCAGAGAGAGCCAUGGAGGAGACCCAGGGGGUCUUGCACAACAUCAACUGCUAAGAUAAGACCAAGUCAGCCUAGUAGCACCACUGGGCUGGACCACAUUAAGUAAGACCAGACAGUAGAGGACACCAAUUAUCAACUUCAGCUGCAGUGCUGGAGGGAAGGCAUGAGCAGGCAAAAAAGAGAGGUCACCAAUAGGAUCCAGGUUUCCCUGCAUUCCACCUCUAGGAGAUGACUUAAUCUACCCUAACCAGAUGCUAUUCAGAGAGAAUCAGGUAAGUCUAAGGGAUGGGUCACAUAACAGAUACUACCUGAAACACUCCCAGAGGUUGUAUGUUAUUGCUUUUAAAAAUAUGCUUCAUUUUUAGAGCAAUCUAUUCACAUGGUCCAUAAAUUAAAGCAAUGUACAGAAUAAUUCUUGCUUUCCCAUCCAACCCAUUCCUAAUCCAAUAGCAUUCCUCUCAAAGAACACAAUUUUAAUUGGCUUCUUGUAUAUCUUUCCAUAGUUUCUCUAUGCUAUUACUAGAAAAAAAAUAUAUAUAUAUACAUAAUCUUAUUUUUUAAUUUUCUUAAAGCAAAGGUAGCAUAACUAUUUUUUGGCCUUCUUCCUCCACUUAAAAUAUAUCACUGGGAUUUCUGUAUCAGAACAGUACAGAGAUACUCAUUCUUUUGUUUUUCAGAGAGUAGUGUAAGGACACUUUACAAUUUAUUCCACUCUUUCCUUAUUCAUGGACAUAGAUAAAAUGUUGCCAUUACAGGCAAUGCUGCAAUGAACAGCUUUAAAAAUAUGUUAUUUUGUCUACAUGCAGGUAUAUCUUUUGUGUGUGCCUGUGUCUUUUUACAGCUGUACGUGCGCCUAUGUGUGCGCGCUGCAUAUAGAGAUUCCCAGGCUAGGGAUUGAAUCAGAGCUGUACCCACCAGCUACGCCAUAGCCACAGCAAUGUGCCAGAUCCAAGUCACAUCUGUGACCUACACCACAGUUCAUGGUAACACCAGAUCCUUAAUCCACUGAGCAAGGCCAGGAAUCGAACCUGCUUCCUCAUGGAUACUAGUCAGAUUCAUUUCCGCUGAGCCACGACAGGAACUCCAACAUGCAGGUAUGUCUUUAACAAAAAUUAACAAAAACCUCGGGGGCUGAACUUUAAAUAAUUGUGUAAAGUGGAUGGAGACAUUUAUGCCACAGAAAAUGGGAAUACUGCCCAGUCUGACUGUCUCAGGCACCCAGUGAGAAGUAUCUUUUAAGGAUCAGAUCAGUUAAUGGAGAAAUAAAGAAGCCACAUAAUCUUGGUACAUUUAAGAAUUUUGUUAGUAAGUUGGUGCCUCUAUAUUAUCCAUAGAUACAUGUAAGCACACAUUAAAAAUACAAAAUUGGGCUCAUAGUUUACACGCCCUCGCAACAGUUGCAAGACAGAGACCCACUGAGGCCAGUCUUGAAAGGAUUUACAAAGAAUAACAAGCAAAUUGUCUUAGAAAUCUAAGAGCAGGGCCCAAGCUGGGGUAGGUUCCUCGUGGAAAGAGCUGAAUUUUGGGUCUGUGUCCUAAGCAUCUGCCAAGACCUUGCGCACAGGAGCUGGAGUCCGGGCUGUAGAUCUGAGAUGACCACAUAGCUGUCGUUCGCCAGUCUUUUUGCCCCACCUUCAAUUGCUCUGUCUUCUUAUCCUUAAUUCCUGCUCCCUCAUAGUUUCAGUUUACUACUUCUUACAGCAGUUCCUCAACCUUCAGCUCUACCUUAUGAUCUUCUACUAAGCUCCCACUCUUACUAUCUCAUGAUUUCUACGUUUUUGGUACAAAUUUCAAACUUUGCCCUGCUCACUUUUCCAUUAAGCCCAUACAGACAACAGGUUGCUGCCAAGUCCACUAAUGGUUCCUCUUGGGCUCUGUUACUCUCCUGAGAUCAUCAACUGAGAGUGGCUCCAGGAGGAACCAUGCAGUAAAACAAAGGCCCCCUCCCUGGCUGCAAGAGCAGGUGGGGCUGUUUCCCUCACCAUGGGGUCUGGUCAUGGCAGGUACAUUAACAUUUCCAAUAUACAGAAUCAUAACAUUUUUCUAUGUUGUUUAAUAUUCCCGCAUGAUUAUAAACAACUGCACAGUAGUUGAUCAUAUGAAAUUCUGUAAUUUCCAUUAUGAAUUCCUAUUGUUGGAAAUUUAAAUUGUCUUAGGUCAUUUUGAUAAUCCUUUUAAAAUAAAAUGAAAUGGAGAUCAUGUUUGAAAAUUCCUCAAGCUGACAAUACCAUUUACACUACAUAGGCAAAAUUAAAUCUAGCUUAUUUCAAGAACACAAGUGAAAUGUAAUAAUUUAUUUAUUGUCAAUGCCUCUGAUAAUCCUAAAACUUAAGUCAUCUUCCUAAAAUGAUAUAAGAUAAUAACUUUUAACCAAUCUUCCAGUCUGGAAACCCCACUGUAAUAACCAAUCAUUAUAAAGGCUAAACAACAUUCUCGUUUUCACUUUAGAAGCCAUCUGAACUCCAUGCCUGUUUUAGAUUUGAAGAGUCCCUGUUCUUGUUUUUCAUUCAAUAAAUUAUUCAUAUCACAUAAAGUUCUUUGAGUUUUCUUUUGACAAUACAAACAAUAUUCCACUAAAAAUCAAGGAAAGAGAUGUUUUAAGGGUUAGGAAUGAUAGGGAUAGAGUAGAACAGUUACAUAGGUAGAAUUCCCAGGAGGGAACCGCAGAUAGAGAGGGAAACUUAGAGAAAUUUGGGAGACCACUGUAAGAUAAUAAU